AUUCUGUCUCAUGUGAAUUUAAUUCUUAGACCCCAGGCAGAAGGACCUAGAGGGUAAAGGAAUUGUCUUCCUCUCCUAAAGUUUAGUGACUUGGAUGGGAUACAACUUAACUGGCUGCAUGCUGCUCACUCCUGGAACUACUGCAGCUGAGAGAUCCUGGACUCCUGACAAGAGCUGGCAAGAGGUGGUGAACUUGGAAGCCACAUUUUGAAGGUGGAAAAAAAAAAAUAGAAGGAGUCUACGUCCCUAAAUCAUUUCUUAGAGUGUUCCAUGACCUGCUAUGGAUGAGUAUGAGUGAGAAAUAAACAUGUUGUUUGAAGUCACUGA